rnacentral:rRNA from 1 species
GAUGAACGCUGGCGGCGUGCCUAAUACAUGCAAGUCGAGCGAACAGAUGAGGAGCUUGCUCCUCUGACGUUAGCGGCGGACGGGUGAGUAACACGUGGAUAACCUACCUAUAAGACUGGGAUAACUUCGGGAAACCGGAGCUAAUACCGGAUAAUAUAUUGAACCGCAUGGUUCAAUAGUGAAAGACGGUUUUGCUGUCACUUAUAGAUGGAUCCGCGCCGCAUUAGCUAGUUGGUAAGGUAACGGCUUACCAAGGCGACGAUGCGUAGCCGACCUGAGAGGGUGGACGGCCACACUGGAACUGUGACACGGUCCAGACUCCUACGGGAGGCAGCAGUAGGGAAUCUUCCGCAAAGGGCGAAAGCCUGACGGAGCAACGCCGCGUGAGUGAUGAAGGUCUUCGGAUCGUAAAACUCUGUUAUUAGGGAAGAACAAAUGUGUAAGUAACUAUGCACGUCUUGACGGUACCUAAUCAGAAAGCCACGGCUAACUACGUG